GCUGACAGCAGGAGCAGCUUGAUAGUAGGCGGCGGCGGGGGCUGGGACCGACAGCGGCAGUGGGGGGCGACUUUCCUUCCUCCCCCAGCCACCUUCCUCCCCCUCUCCACUAGGUGCAGCGGCAGUGGGAGUGGAGCCUCUGCCGGCUGCCUCCCUCCACACGUCCACUCGUUGCCCCCUCUGAAGGAUGGAACAAAAUAUCGUCCAGAGACCCUCUAUUACAUACUCUUCCACCCGCUGAACGAGGCGAAGCUCCCUGCAGCUAUUGAACAAUACAUGCCUAAGAUUAGAAAGAUCUCCAAGUAGUUUAGCCCUGUUCUUUUUCCUUUUUGUUUUCCUGAGGAAAUGAAGAUGUGGUUAAUGACAUACCUUUUGACCUAUAAGUGAUUGGCCGCGUGAAAUUUCAGUCAUAAUGGUUACACAAUUUUGUCAGUUUGGUAAUGUGUCUAUGUGCACUAUCCAGCUAGGAAGCAGUGGUGAAAAAAUGCUCUCUCCAUUUGUAUUUUAGUAGUAAUAGAAUUUACUGCCUGUAAUAGAAUCUAGCAGUAAUGCUGCUAAUGAUUUGUAGUAACUUACAUGUAUGUCUGGCAGUAACACAACCGAUUUGUAUUAUUUUUUUGGUAACACAAAUGCAA
rnacentral:lncRNA from 1 species